UACGGAGGAUGCGAGCGUUAUCCGGAUUUAUUGGGUUUAAAGGGUGCGUAGGCGGAGUGCCAAGUCAGCGGUAAAAAUUCGGGGCUCAACCCCGUCGUGCCGCUGAAACUGGCGCCCUUGAGUGGGCGAGAAGUAUGCGGAAUGCGUGGUGUAGCGGUGAAAUGCAUAGAUAUCACGCAGAACCCCGAUUGCGAAGGCAGCAUACCGGCGCCCGACUGACGCUGAAGCACGAAAGCGUGGGUAUCGAACAGG
rnacentral:rRNA from 1 species